AGAGCAGAGAAAUACGGAGGGGUGGGUGGGAAUUAGACACUCUUCUCUCUUCCUUUGUUUUGACUCUUUUGCUAUCUUAGAUCAGUGCUGCCUAUCCUGAGCUGUUGCACUUUCUAAAUUUAAAACGGGAUGUAACCUAAUAGCAAGUUCUGCGUUUUAGCAACAUCCCUUGAGAGAAAGUGGGGGAGGGGAGGAAUAUUUUAUUAUUUUGACUACCGCGUUCUAUUGUUCGGUAGAACAUGAGCUUAUAAUGGCACGUUUCGAAGAAACACUAUUAAGUAAUCGGAUGUAAAACGUGAGUGCAAUUAUAAAAUAUUAAGCACUUGGCUAAUGCAAUUCUUUGAAUACAAUAUGCUGGUAUCAUAAAACAUUUGGUAGUUGGGGAAGUAAAAUACAAGCUAUGGCUUCAUUAACCUGUUUUCCCCAUUUCUUCAAAAAUGGUAUAGAGUGACAAAAGAGGAUUGCAAUACCUUUAUUGGGACAAACUGCAAAUCACAGAGCAGGGAGCUCAAUUUUGAAAUUCACAGAACUCUGCCUUUUGUAUGAUAUUAAUGGGGGUGGGGUGGGGUUGGAGAGAGGAAAAUAUUUUGCUUGCACAACCAGCUCUGCAGUGUGCUACUGUCUUAAUAUAAUGAUUAUUGCCUAAAGGGCAAUAAUCAGGAAGUUUGUUUCUAGACUAACAUCACAAUCUUGUUCAGAUGAGAGUCCUCUUAAAUUCAAUAUGUCAUCUUGUUAGUAUUUCGGCACACAGUGAGACAUUAAGAAAAGGGCAUCUUAAGAGCAGGGCCAUGAAAAAACUUCACAAUAUUUACCUUUGUGUCCGUGCCACUGAUGGCAAAAGAAGUUUUCCACUAAUGAAUUGCAUUCAUGCACUAAAUAAUCUCCUGUUCACACAUACCACUUAACAUUACAUCAUUUGAUUCCUUGGCACACUGAGUCCAUUGAAAAGUGUUGCACUGGAGGUGAAACAAGACUUCUCUCUGUGGGAUUUGUCUGAUUCACUCAGGCUCAUUAACACACUCAACUUGUCAUCACUUGAUGCUGCAACUAUCAAGUGAUGGCUGGACACACAGUCAGUUCAAAAUGGAAGCUCCUGCUUUGUAGUGAGCCUAAGAAAUGGCCCAUCAAGGCCAGUACCAUAUAAUCAAUGGAGCUUUCCAAUAUGAUUUAUAGAUGCGGGAAAUGCCAACACUGAUGUAAGCAUAGAUCCACAGGGAAACAUGGAGAGGAUUCCAUGAGUGAAGGGAGCAUCUGGCAUCACUUAUCAAUGUUGUUCAAGUGAGACAGAAAGUGAAAGAGUGCCAAUUUGAAUUCAUUGGUACCUUCCAGUCAAUGCAGCUUUCAUUGUGAUUUAUGGAUACGGGAAAUACAAAAACGGACAUUGGCAGAGAUGUGUGAAAACAUCCUUAAGUUGCAUCCCUAUGCACACUUACAUGAGGAUAAGUUUCGCUGAGCUGAACAGAACUAAGGUCACACCCCCACCAUGCAUUUAAAUCACUUAUACCACUUUUGCAGUCAUGGCUUCCCCUAAAGGAUUCUGGGAACUGUAGUUUGCUUAGGGUGCUGAGAGAUUUUAGGAGACAUGCCACAGUGCUACAGGUCCAAGAUCCCUUAACAAACUACGGCUCCCUGGAUUAUUUGAAUGGGCGAAACAUGAAUUCUAAAGUGACAUAAGAGUGUUCUAAAUGUGUACUGUGGCUGUGACCUUACUUCUGAGUAGAAAAGCCUAGGAGUGUUAAAGAUGCUUGUGUAGCAACAUCAGUGGUGGUGGGGACUAUACCUCAGCUGUAGAGCUUUGCAUCCAGAAGAUCUCAUCUUCAAUCCCUAGCAUCUCCAGGUUGCUCUGAGAGAGACCCCCAUCUGAAACCCUAGAGUAGAUAGAUCCAUGGUCUGAGUCAGAAGGUGGCACCUUCCUAUGUUUUGAACCACACAGUACCCUGGCAGUGCCCAGACAGAUUGUCAAACGGAAGCCCUUGCCAGAGAGCUUUGUCUGAGAUACCGGGAACUGAAUCUGGAAUUUUAUAAAUGCAAAGCAUGUGCUACAACCCCUUCCUAUGCAUCAGCCUGCAUUACUGCAGAAAUGGAGACGGGUUGCACAUGGAACGCAUGCUGAUUGCUCUCUGCAUUGCACUGUGGUGCUGGCAGAUAACUCAUUGGCCAGGCUGGUGUUAGGAGCAAGUUGACCCGGACCAGGCAGUUUCUCCUUUCGCACCCCAUUUCGGCCUCUCCUUGCUUACUGUUGUGCAGACACAGUCAAAACAGUUCAAAUGUCACAAAAUAAUUGUUUUGGAAUAUCCGCCCCCAGCCACACACACACACACACACACACACACACACACACCUGUGACUGAAAGGAACAUCUUUUCCUAUGGAAUGCUUUGCUUGUCAAUGUUUUUGAUGGGAGACAGUGAGAGAAUACCAAUUUGGAAUCAAAGGCACUUUCCAGUAAAGGUAGCUUCCCAAUGUGAUUUAUAGAUAUGGGAAAUCAUUUUUUAAAAUGACAUAAGCACAGAUAUGUGGAAACAGGCUGCAAUCUCAUGCAUACAUACUCAGGAGCUUCAUUGAUCUGAAUUAUGACUUGCCUCUGAGUAGGAUCACACUCAGGAAGCCUGCACGGAAAGGACUGUGAAAUUGUUCAAACCACACAGGCAGAGCAGCCUAAUAGUAAUAUUAGCAAGAUUUGGAGGAAACCUUAUAAAUGGCACUUAUACAGAAGAAAAAAGAUGCAUUGUAAUGUAAAUUUCAAAGUGAGGUUUUUAUGGUAUAUUAAUGCGAUGUAACCCUCCCCCCUACUUUGGUUACAUUUAAUUUAAAAUUAGUCAUGUGGAUGACACCCUAUUAUAAGUAACAGCAUUAACAGCAUAUGGGGUUGAGAACAAUUCUUUAAAGAUUAGGUUUUAAACCUGCCAAAUAAAUAAUUAAAAAACUUUCUUAUGCUCACCAGCCUUCUCCCACCUGGUACCUUCCAAAUGCUACACAGAUUGAUUAUUAUGGGCUUGUGGUAACAUGUAGGUGGGCUUUUUCACAGUUGGCACUAGUGUUAUGGAAUGCUCUCUCUGCUAAAUACGAGAGGCCCCAUCAGUAUUGGCAUUCCACGGGCUCCUGAAUUCACACCUGUUUAAGGCAAGCAUUCUCCUGAAUUAAUUGUCUUAACCAUUUAUUUAAAAUGUUCAUUGUGAUGCUUUUUAAUUGUUUGCUUCAUUUUAAAUUUUAUUUAAGUCUUUGUAACACCUCAGUUGAUGGACUAUUGUGUAUUUCAAUUAUGUGUGGAUUUUUAUAGUUAUAAACCACUUAGAAGCCAUUUUGGCAUGUAAGUAGUAUAUAAAUUUAUUAUUAAUAGUAAUAAUCAUUUCACUAGAAAGAGAGAAGAUUAGUCAUAUAAGCACUGAGGGGGGAGAAUGAGAUCAGGGUUUCUGCAGGGGCAAGGUAUCCAUGACCCUCCUUGAGCUACAGCAAGCAUGUCCAAUGAUCAAGAAUGAUGGGAGUUGCAGUCUAGCACCUAGAGAGCCACAGGUUCCUUACCUCCUGGGUUACUGGGUGUGUUGUGAGAGGAAUCAGAAGACUACUUUGCCAUGGAUUUUAGAUUUAUCUUCCAAUAGGUUCCACAUCUCAAUAGAGUCAUUGGCAAAUGAUUGGUGCUAAGGCAAAAGACACAUAAUCAAACACAAGGUGAACUGCUUAUUCAGUUUUCAACCUGAAUAUUCAGUAUUCAAUGGUUACUUGAAGGUUUGACUGUGUCUUGCCUUUAUU